GAUGAACGCUGGCGGCGUGCUUAACACAUGCAAGUCGAACGAUUAAAGCCCCUUCGGGGGUGUAUAGAGUGGCGAACGGGUGAGUAACACGUGGGCAAUCUGCCCCUCACACUGGGAUAACUCGAGGAAACUCGUGCUAAUACCGGAUACUCCGGACUGACCACAUGGUCGGUUCGGGAAAGCUCCGGCGGUGAGGGACGAGCCCGCGGCCCAUUAGCUAGUUGGUGAGGUAACGGCCCACCAAGGCAACGAUGGGUAGCCGCGCUGAGAGGCGGAUCGGCCAGACUGGGACUGAGACACGGCCCAGACUCCUACGGGAGGCAGCAGUGGGGAAUUUUGCGAAAUGGGCGAAAGCCUGACGCAGCAACGCCGCGUGCGGGAUGAAGGCCUUCGGGUUGUAAACCGCUUUCAGCAGGGAUGAAAAUGACAGUACCUGCAGAAGAAGCCCCGGCUAACUACGUGCCAGCCGCCGCCGUAA
rnacentral:rRNA from 1 species